UACGGGGGGGCAAGCGUUGUUCGGAAUUACUGGCGUAAAGGGCUCGUAGGCGGCCAACUAAGUCGGAUGUGAAAUCCCCAGGCUUAACCUGGGAACUGCAUCCGAUACUGGAUGGCUUGAAUCCGGGAGAGGGUGCAGAAGUUCCAGGUGUAGCGGUGAAAUGACGUAGAUAUCAAGAGGAACACCCUGGAGGUGAAGACGGGUUGCUGGGCCAACACUGACGCUGAUGCGCGAAAGCCAGGGGAGGCAAACGGG
rnacentral:rRNA from 1 species